rnacentral:lncRNA from 1 species
UUUUUUUUUUUUUUGGUUUUUCAAGACAGGGUUUCUCUGUAUAGCCUUGGUUGUCCUGGAACUCACUUUGUAGACCAGGCUGGCCUCGAACUCAGAAAUCUGCCUACUUUCUGCCUCCCAAGUGCUGGGAUUAAAGGGGUGCGCCACCACACCUGGCCCCCAUUAGGAAUCAUUUUAUUGACUUUUUUCCCCACUCAUGUUUGGUUCUAUCCUGGGUCUCUGGGAUAUAUUCAGCCAAAUAUUUAUUUGUUUUAUGUUCAUGAGUGUCUUGCAUACAUAUGUGAAUGUGCUCCACAUGAGUGCCUGGUGCCCACAGAGAUCAGAAGAGAAUGUCAGAUCCCUGAAACUGGAGUUACAGGUGAUUGUGAGCCACCAUGUGGGUGCUGUGAACAGAACCCAGGAGCUCUGCUGGAAUAAUAAGUGCCCUUAACCACUGAGCCAAUACCUUUGUAAUUGCACCCUCUCAAGAGAAAAUAUUUGAAUAUAGACUGCCAAUCAGUGCAUAGUUACUUAUCAAUAGAUUAUGCAAAUAUUGUAUAAUUAUCUAAAUCAAGUAGCCCUUGUUUUGCACAGCAGGGUGAGACUAUGAACAUAACCACAAAAACCAGAAGUUUGCAAAGCAAUCUUAAUAAGCAGUGAGAAAAUUUUCAGCUGUAAUGUGACCUUUAAAAUAUUACACAAGCCAUUAAAAAAUUAUCUUAUUGUUGGCUAUGCUUGCAUAGAGAAAUAAGAGAAAUGGAAAAGUUAAUAUUUGUUUAGUGCACUUCAAAUUAAAAUAAGAAACAUAGAAAAUUAAAAUUGUAUUUUCUUACAGAUUUUUAUCAAGAUUCAUUUGAGCUAAUCUUCUUUCUUCUUUUAUAUGACUACAGUACUGAGUAAGCAUGGUUUCUAGAAUUUGGCCAUUUUUCAUACCCGACUCGAGUUAGGGAAGCACCUUCUAAUACAUUACCCUUGUGGCUUUAGUACCUUGAAAUACCGCCGAGGAUUGUUUGAUGGGGGGCUUUAUGAAAAGUCACUUCUGCUGGGACAAAUUCAUCCUUUCUGUCAAAACCAAUUUUAUCUUCUAUCUGGACAAGGUAGCCUGUAUUAAAUUCCUCUGACAGUAUAACUAGGUUUUCUUGACUCUGUGGUCAGGUCUUUCUUGUAUAAUUUCAUUUACAUUCUAUUUGAAUUUCACUCCCAGAGUUAUUGCCUUUCAGUUUGGAGACUACUACGUUUCCAGUUUUGGUGGCCACGUCACUUAAUCUUGGGGAAGGUCAAAUAUUGUUUCAUGGCCAAUGAGGAGGCAGCGCAGCCCCCAGUUUGCUAUCCCAGAGUGAACUGAGCAAUAGCUAUGAAGUGAUCAAUCACUGGCAGAUUUAGAAAACAGACAUGUUGGCCAUUGAUUAUCACAUGCAUUGAUUACAAGAGCAGUGAUUUGAGACCUGAAGCAGUGAGGUUUGUCCUUUAUGCUAAUGGUUCACAGUUAACUUUAUGGAAACUGAAAUUUGUACCCAAACUGUUGAAUGCAAACUGCCGGCCUUUACACUAACGCAUGCUAUGCAAAAUCCAUAUUUUAAACAGUCACCUUGAUUAAUUUUUAUUUUUGAAGUCAAAUUAUCAUUACUAUUUCUUGUUACUGUUUUUUCUAUAUAGUACUGUUAUCCAGAGCCUAUCUCAGAAGUAGGACAUGCAACAGCCCAAUCCUUUCCUUGUUUUUGUAGCUUGCAUAAUUACAGUUACUCCAUGGAUUUUUUGUAGCAAUCUAUGUAGGUCAUUUGUAAAAAUUGAGUGAUAUUAUCUAUAAAUCCAAAGUAUCCUUAACCUGAUAAAUUCGGUAAUAUUCAGUCACAAUGCAUUAAAACCUAAUCUUGGAUGUCACCGUUGCCACAUGUCCCAUACUGUGACAAUUUUGUAUUCUCUUUGAGGGCUGUCAGUGCUACCCCAGGAGGUGUGACCAUGAUCACCUGACAGCAGUAUUACAUGAGGACUCCAAUAUUAAGUAGCUUCAGACUUUCAUUUCAUACAUUUUAUGUAAACGUUUAAGGUAAACUGUAAUAUCGUCACUUUCUCUGGCUGCUGCAGGACUAAACAUUGGGUUGUACAUAAGUUGUCCUGAGGCUGUAAAAAUGAGAAGACUCUGACCCUCCUAAUGCCAGCAUGGUGAGCUUCAUGCUGGGGACAGCUGUUAGGGUUUGAAUGUGCGUGUCCUCUGUGGGCUCAUGUGCUAUACACCUGUCCUCGGUGGUGUCAUUAUUAAAGGACGAUAGAAUCUUUAGGAUAUGGAACCUUGCUGGAGGAAGUCCCAGUGGCACGGGCCUUUGAAGAUUUUAUAUCCCAGCCCUACUUUCUGUUUUGUGGAUAUAAAAGUAAAGUGACCAGCCACAUCAUAUAUACUCUCACCUAUAGUGAACUGUAUCCAUUCUAAAACUGUCCUUCCUUCCUUCCUUCCUUCCAUUCAUCCAUCCAUCCAUCCAUCCAUCCAUCCAUUCUUUUAUUGGAUAUUUUGUCACAGCAACAAGAAAAGAAACACAUGAAACUCAAGAAGAACGAAGACCAAAGUGUGGACACUUUUCCCCUUCUUAGAAUUGGGAACAAAACACCCAUGGAAGGAGUUACAGAGACAAAAUUUGGAGCUGAGACGAAAGGAUGGACCAUCUAGAGACUGCCAUAUCCGGGGAUCCAUCCCAUAAUCAGCUUCCAAAUGCUGACACUAUUGCAUACACUAGCAAGAUUUUGCUGAUAGGACCCAGAUAGAGCUGUCUCUUGUGAGACUAUACCGGGGCCUAGCAAACACAGAAGUGGAUGCUCACAGUCAGCUAUUGGAUGGACCACAGGGCCCCCCAAUUGAGGAGCUAGAGAAAGUACCCAAGGAGCUAAAGGGAUCUGCAACCCUAUAGGUGGAACAACAAUAUGAACUAACCAGUACCCCCCUGGAGCUCGUGUCUCUAGCUGCAUAUGAAUCAGAAAAUGGCCUAGUUGGCCAUCAGUGGAAAGAGAGGCCCAUUAGUCAUGAAAACUUUAUAUGUCUCAGUAUAGAGGAAUGACAGGGCCAAGAAGUGGGAAUGGGUGGGUAGGGGAGUGGGUGGGGGAGCAUGUGGGGGACUUUUGGGAUAGCUUUGGAAAUGUAAAUGAAAUAAAUACCCAAUUG